GCCAGUGUAGCUCAGUUGGUAGAGCGACGGUAUCGUAAACCGUAGGCCGUCGGUUCAAACCCGACCACUGGCU
rnacentral:tRNA from 1 species